GACUCUCGGCAACAGAUAUCUCGGCUCUCGCAUCGAUGAAGAAUGCAACAAAAUGUGAUACUUGGUGUGAAUUGCAGAAUCCCGUAAAUCAUUGAGUUUCUGAAUGCAAGUUGCGCCUGAAGCCUUUCGGCUGAGGGCACUCCUGCCUGGGUGUCA